AACGAACGCUGGCGGCAUGCCUAACACAUGCAAGUCGAACGAACCCUUCGGGGUUAGUGGCGCACGGGUGCGUAACGCGUGGGAAUCUGCCCUUUGCUUCGGUAUAACUCAGGGAAACUUGUGCUAAUACCGGAUGAUGUCUUCGGACCAAAGAUUUAUCGGCAAGGGAUGAGCCCGCGUAGGUUUAGGUAGUUGGUGGGGUAAAGGCCUACCAAGCCGACGAUCCUUAGCUGGUCUGAGAGGAUGAUCAGCCACACUGGGACUGAGACACGGCCCAGACUCCUACGCGAGGCAGCGGUGGAGAAUAUUAGACACUGGACGCAAGCCUGAUCCAGCAAUGCCGCGUGAGUGAUGAAGGCCCUCGGGUCGUAAAGCUCUUUUACCAGGGAUGAUAAUGACAGUACCUGGAGAAUAAGCUCCGGCUAACUCCGUG
rnacentral:rRNA from 1 species